rnacentral:rRNA from 1 species
AUUGAACGCUGGCGGCAUGCUUUACACAUGCAAGUCGAACGGUAACAGGCCGCAAGGUGCUGACGAGUGGCGAACGGGUGAGUAAUGCAUCGGAACGUGCCCAGUAGUGGGGGAUAGCCCGGCGAAAGCCGGAUUAAUACCGCAUACGACCUACGGGUGAAAGGGGGGGAUCGCAAGACCUCUCGCUAUUGGAGCGGCCGAUGUCAGAUUAGGUAGUUGGUGGGGUAAAGGCCUACCAAGCCGACGAUCUGUAGCUGGUCUGAGAGGACGACCAGCCACACUGGGACUGAGACACGGCCCAGACUCCUACGGGAGGCAGCAGUGGGGAAUUUUGGACAAUGGGCGAAAGCCUGAUCCAGCCAUGCCGCGUGCGGGAAGAAGGCCUUCGGGUUGUAAACCGCUUUUGUCAGGGAAGAAAUCCUUUGGGCUAAUACCCUGGGGGGAUGACGGUACCUGAAGAAUAAGCACCGGCUAACUACGUGCCAGCCGCCGCCGUAACAC